AACGAACGCUGGCGGCAGGCUUAACACAUGCAAGUCGAACGGACGUAGUAAUACGUUAGUGGCGCACGGGAGAGUAACACGUGGGAACCUACCUUUUGGUUUGGGAUAACGUCGGGAAACUGACGCUAAUACCGAAUAUUCCCUAUGGGGGAAAGAUUUAUCGCCAUUAGAUGGGCCCGCGCUAGAUUAGUUUGUUGGUGGGGUAAUGGCCUACCAAGACUACGAUCUAUAGCUGGUCUGAGAGGAUGACCAGCCGCACUGGGACUGAGACACGGCCCAGACUCCUACGGGAGGCAGCAGUGGGGAAUAUUGGACAAUGGGGGAAACCCUGAUCCAGCCAUGCCGCGUGAAUGAUGAAGGCCUUCGGGUUGUAAAGUUCUUUUGGUGGGGACGAUGAUGACGGUACCCACAGAAUAAGCUCCGGCUAACUUCGUGCCAGCCGCCGCCGUAA
rnacentral:rRNA from 1 species